CGUAGGGGGCAAGCGUUAUCCGGAUUUAUUGGGCGUAAAGAGCUCGUAGGCGGCCGUUCGCGUCGGAUGUGAAAGCUCAGGGCUCAACUCUGAGAUGCCAUUCGAUACGGGACGGCUAGAGGUAGGUAGGGGAGAGUGGAAUUCCUGGUGUAGCGGUGAAAUGCGCAGAUAUCAGGAGGAACACCGGUGGCGAAGGCGGCUCUCUGGGCCUUACCUGACGCUGAGGAGCGAAAGCUGGGGGAGCGAACAGG
rnacentral:rRNA from 1 species